rnacentral:snoRNA from 11 species
CUUCCCAUUUGACUGCUACUUGUUUGCACUUCAAAAUAAGUAGCUAUGCUUGUGGGAUAUAGAAGUAUCUGCCAUAGUUUUAAGGAGAAGACUGAUAGUAUCUUCUUCCUAUAUUUAAUGGCAAAACAUAUUAAA